ACUCCUACGGGAGGCAGCAGUGAGGAAUAUUGGUCAAUGGAGGGAACUCUGAACCAGCCAUCCCGCGUGUAGGAAGACGGCCUUAUGGGUUGUAAACUACUUUUAUACAGGAAGAAACGUACCCUCGUGAGGGUGCCUGACGGUACUGUAGGAAUAAGCACCGGCUAACUCCGUGCCAGCAGCCGCGGUAAUACGGAGGGUGCGAGCGUUAAUCGGAAUUACUGGGCGUAAAGCGCGUGUAGGUGGCUUGUUAAGCCAGAUGUGAAAGCCCCGGGCUGCAACCUGGGAAGCUGCAUUUGGAACUUGGCAAGGCUGAGAGUUUUGUAGAGGGUUGGUAGAAUUUCGAGGUGUAG
rnacentral:rRNA from 1 species